GGCAGUGUGGCAUAAUGGUUUGAGUGUUAGACUGCAACUCUGAAGACCAGGGUUCAACUCCCAGCUAAGCCA